ACAGAUUUACUUCGGUAAUGACGUUAGGAAAGCGAGCGGCGGAUGGGUGAGUAACACGUGGGGAACCUGCCCCAUAGUCUGGGAUACCACUUGGAAACAGGUGCUAAUACCGGAUAAGAAAGCAGAUCGCAUGAUCAGCUUUUAAAAGGCGGCGUAAGCUGUCGCUAUGGGAUGGCCCCGCGGUGCAUUAGCUAGUUGGUAAGGUAAAGGCUUACCAAGGCGAUGAUGCAUAGCCGAGUUGAGAGACUGAUCGGCCACAUUGGGACUGAGACACGGCCCAAACUCCUACGGGAGGCAGCAGUAGGGAAUCUUCCACAAUGGACGCAAGUCUGAUGGAGCAACGCCGCGUGAGUGAAGAAGGUUUUCGGAUCGUAAAGCUCUGUUGUUGGUGAAGAAGGAUAGAGGUAGUAACUGGCCUUUAUUUGACGGUAAUCAACCAGAAAGUCACGGCUAACUACGUGCCAGCAGCCGCGGUAAUACGUAGGUGGCAAGCGUUGUCCGGAUUUAUUGGGCGUAAAGCGAGCGCAGGCGGAAGAAUAAGUCUGAUGUGAAAGCCCUCGGCUUAACCGAGGAACUGCAUCGGAAACUGUUUUUCUUGAGUGCAGAAGAGGAGAGUGGAACUCCAUGUGUAGCGGUGGAAUGCGUAGAUAUAUGGAAGAACACCAGU
rnacentral:rRNA from 1 species